UGGGGAAUAUUGGACAAUGGGCGCGAGCCUGAUCCAGCCAUGCCGCGUGAGUGAUGAAGGCCCUAGGGUUGUAAAGCUCUUUCACCGGUGAAGAUAAUGACGGUAACCGGAGAAGAAGCCCCGGCUAACUUCGUGCCAGCAGCCGCGGUAAUACGAAGGGGGCUAGCGUUGUUCGGAUUUACUGGGCGUAAAGCGCACGUAGGCGGACUUUUAAGUCAGGGGUGAAAUCCCGGGGCUCAACCCCGGAACUGCCUUUGAUACUGGAAGUCUUGAGUAUGGUAGAGGUGAGUGGAAUUCCGAGUGUAGAGGUGAAAUUCGUAGAUAUUCGGAGGAACACCAGUGGCGAAGGCGGCUCACUGGACCAUUACUGACGCUGAGGUGCGAAAGCGUGGGGAGCAAACAGG
rnacentral:rRNA from 1 species